rnacentral:lncRNA from 1 species
AAUUUCCUGAUAUACAUGGAAAUGCUGAUAUUGCUUUCACUAUAUUGUCUCUUUGUAAUGUGUAACAUCAUUUUUACUUAGGUUUGCCAAAUGACCGGCUUUUACAGAGUAGAAUAUAGUCCCAAACAUAUACAGUUCAGUUCUUUUACUGCUUUCUUCUUCAUAAAAGCCGGACGUCUUGCAACCCUUAAAUUUCCCCUUCUUUUUGUUUGCAUAAAUUACAUAAUUCUCUUAAUUAUAAAUACUCCAAAUCCGAUUUUCGAACAGCUUAUUUUAAAAUCUAAAGAAAUAUAAGCGAUUAAAGAUUACAUUUUGCAAGCCAACUAGAUGCUUAAACAACUCAAAAGACAGCCACGCGCUCAUUAUAACUCUCUUAUAGUUUUAGAAUCUGAGUGAGUUACUGUUUUGAAUAUCUAAAAUCUUCAAAUUAAGUUUUUAUGAUUUUAAGUUAAAUUAGACUUAAGAAUAUGUGUAAGAAUUGAGAAUAAAUAUUUACUUUUUAUUUUAGAAAUGAACACACAAGAAAAUUUAAACGACGAUGAUGGUGACUUUUUUAGAAAAAAAUUAGAAGAUUUACAAAAGUCCAUAGCUGUUGCUUCUUCUGCUACAAGUAAGUUGUUCUAUUCACUUAUACUUACCUUAAUUUAUUGAUUAAUUGGUUUUAUUGCAUUUUUAAUUUUC